rnacentral:rRNA from 1 species
GACGAACGCUGGCGGCGUGCUUAACACAUGCAAGUCGAACGGAAAGGCCCUGCUUGCAGGGUGCUCGAGUGGCGAACGGGUGAGUAACACGUGGGUGAUCUGCCCCUUAUUUUGGGAUAAGCCUGGGAAACUGGGUCUAAUACUGGAUAGGACCAUGCUGUAGGUGGUGUGGUGGAAAGAUUAGUUUCGGUAAGGGAUGAGCUCGCGGCCUAUCAGCUUGUUGGUGGGGUAAUGGCCUACCAAGGCGGCGACGGGUAGCCGGCCUGAGAGGGUGGACGGCCACAUUGGGACUGAGGUACGGCCCAGACUCCUACGGGGGGCAGCAGUGGGGAAGAUUGCACAAUGGGGGCAAGCCUGAUGCAGCGGCGCCGCGUGGGGGAUGACGGCCGUCGGGUUGUAAACUCCUUUCAGCCAUGACGAAGCCCUUGUGGUGACGGUAGUGGGAGAAGAAGCACCGGCUAACUACGUG